CCCACCGCGAUCGCAGCGCUCUGACAAUCCCUUUGCCAGCCGCCGCUGCUUAAUUAGCCUGCCCACGACUUACACUGCCAGAAAAAUGUGUUUUUAACUUGUGCGCAAAUUUUUUGCGGUGUUUCCCCUCUGUUGGAAACAACUGGUUUCCCAGCGGCCUUCUAAGGAACGCCUGGGCGUGCUACCCUGUGUAGCCAGCAUGCACGACAUCUGUAACUUGAUGUUGGAAAUGUCUGCAGGCUGGAACACACAAGAACAAGUUUGCAUCGCCAGAAGGACUGUGAAAUGCGCCUUUAGGACUUUACGCAGAUUUGUCCUCAAACAACAAGGGAAACCAAGGCUGGGACAAUGGCACCGAUGCCAUACGAUCAGUGCCUUGCUAAGUACCACUUAAGCCACGCCACCAGCGAGAACAAGCCUGUCUAUUGAUCAGAAGCUUCUGUCAGAGCUGCAUCUGCUGAGGUCCAUAAUGGGGGUGAAGGUCUGGCUUUGGGUGGAGCUCUCUUAAGCGUCAGGAGCAGGAUGUCGAGUAAAUGUGUGACCUGCAAAAAGUGAGGAAGCCACCUUUCCGUAACAGGUACAAAGGCAGAUUUAGUAUUGAAUACGUAAAACAUUGGGCUGUCAAAUUAUUAUUUGAAAUUAUUGUUAAUGAU